rnacentral:rRNA from 1 species
GUAGAACGCUGAAGGAGGAGCUUACUUCUCUGGAUGAGUUGCGAACGGGUGAGUAACGCGUAGGUAACCUGCCUGGUAGCGGGGGAUAACUAUUGGAAACGAUAGCUAAUACCGCAUAAGAGUAGAUGUUGCAUGACAUUUACUUAAAAGGUGCAAUUGCAUCACUACCAGAUGGACCUGCGUUGUAUUAGCUAGUUGGUGGGGUAACGGCUCACCAAGGCGACGAUACAUAGCCGACCUGAGAGGGUGAUCGGCCACACUGGGACUGAGACACGGCCCAGACUCCUACGGGAGGCAGCAGUAGGGAAUCUUCGGCAAUGGACGGAAGUCUGACCGAGCAACGCCGCGUGAGUGAAGAAGGUUUUCGGAUCGUAAAGCUCUGUUGUAAGAGAAGAACGAGUGUGAGAGUGGAAAGUUCACACUGUGACGGUAUCUUACCAGAAAGGGACGGCUAACUACGUGCCAGCAGCCACGGUAAUACGUAGGUCCCGAGCGUUGUCCGGAUUUAUUGGGCGUAAAGCGAGCGCAGGCGGUUAGAUAAGUCUGAAGUUAAAGGCUGUGGCUUAACCAUAGUACGCUUUGGAAACUGUUUAACUUGAGUGCAAGAGGGGAGAGUGGAAUUCCAUGUGUAGCGGUGAAAUGCGUAGAUAUAUGGAGGAA